rnacentral:tRNA from 1 species
GGCCUCGUAGCUUUGGUAGAGCAUGCGCGUACAAAGCGUGGGCGGUGUCCAUGCGUGCGUUCGAAUCCCACCGCGGGUAGAGCAUGCGCGUACAAAGCGUAGGCGGUGUCCAUGCGUGGGUUCGAAUCCCACCGAGACUA